rnacentral:rRNA from 1 species
UACAGGGGGUGCAAGCGUUGUUCGGAAUUACUGGGCGUAAAGCGUGCGCAGGCGGCUUCGCAAGUCAGACGUGAAAGCCCCGGGCUUAACCUGGGAAUGGCGUUUGAAACUACGGAGCUGGAGUGUGGCAGAGGGAGGUAGAAUUCCACGUGUAGCGGUGAAAUGCGUAGAUAUGUGGAGGAAUACCGAUGGCGAAGGCAGCCUCCUGGGCCAACACUGACGCUCAUGCACGAAAGCGUGGGGAGCAAACAGG